CUUCCUCCCUCUUUUCUUUUCCUCUCAGCCUACAAAUAGAGAGGGUACUCUAAUAGACCUCCCUCAGGUCGCCUGUCCCUCCACUCCUCCCCCUCCUCCUCCUCCCCCCUCGUCUUCCCUCCCUCGCUCAUUCCUCCUUUUCUCAGCCAGCACCAGAUAAGAAGGGGGCAGAAGUAUUUCUCUUCGGCCACUUCUGAAACUGGAGCCACCAGAGGAGGAUGUUUUCACCUCCAUCUUUUUCAUUCUCGCAGUCAGUUUGGACAUUCACUGUUCCCUAUCCUUAACCCACAACCUCUUUUUUUCAUCUCUUUCUACUCACUUAAACUUACUCUCCAUCCAUAUUUUUUUUAUCCCUGCACUUGGCACAUUAAGGACAGGAGGGAAUUUCAAGAAAACCAUAAAGGACUUGCCCAUGCUCAAGCCAGUAGACCCAUCCUGAAACAUCUUCAUCAACAAGAAAAACCGGACAACAGAGAACAAAAUUAAGACCCAAGGACGAAAAAAAAAGGGGGGGGGGGAGAAAAAAAGAGAUUGACCAACACAUCUGAUGUACAUCUUCACCGCAAGUGGGGAGAGGGAACGGGAAACCACAGGACAGGUGUUGCUUUCUGUUUCUACCUUUCAAAAAAAGUGUGAGCCAUAAGCAAAGUUAUCUCCUGAAAUUUAACGGAACGAGCUUAAGUUGCAGAAUCCAACCUGAUGGAUUGACCGGUAGGUGCAGAGACUUGUGCAUGACUCGUUCUGCAUCCUGCACACAGAUGUGUUCGUAAAGUGAAUUGGGGUCAGAGCGUGAACGAGCUUCUCUUUGACCCUCUUCGCACUGAGAGGAGACACUUCAUUACAGUCAAAGAGAGCGUCAUGAAACGUUUAGAUCUCAGCGGGGGGUUGUUGCUGCUGCUUCUGCUGCUCUGGACCACGUCGGCCGUCGCCGAUGCAGCCGGUGUUGCGACCCCAGAACGAGGAGGAGCUGGAAGAAGAAGAGGAAGCGGUGGCGGUGGUGCUGGUGGAGGAGGAGGUGCGGAGAGGAGAAGGAAGUUUCACCGCAUCCAACAUGGCCAGUGCAGCUACACCUUCAUCCUGCCGGAGCUGGACGCAUGCCAGGGCGGAGGAUCGCCGCCACGGGCUGAACAAUAUGGUGUCUCGCGCGGCGGGGCAAGCAUCGUGCAGAGAGACUCGCCGCCCAUCGACGGCGAAUGGUCGGCUCAGAAACUGCAGCACCUGGAGAGCACAAUGGAGAACAACACGCAGUGGUUGCAGAAGUUGGAGAACGUCAUUCAGAAGAGCGUGCAGCCGGGCAUCACUAACAUACCGUCACACGUCGUCCACAACCAAACGGCCACCAUGCUGGAGAUCGGAACGAACCUGCUCACUCACACUGCCGAGCAGACUCGCAAACUCAACGUGGUGGAAGCUAAGGUGCUGAACCACACGUCUCGUAUAGAGAUCCAGCUGCUGGAGAAUUCUCUGUCCACCAACAAGCUGGAGAAGGAGCUGCUGCUGCAGACCUCGGAGAUCAGUCAGCUGCGAGACAAGAACAGUCGUUUGGAGAGUAAAGUUCAGAGGUUGGAGUCUCAGCAAAAAGGAGAGCUGGAGGACAUGAAGGAGGAGAAGAACAGACUGCAGUCUGUCAUCAGGGCGCAGAUGGCGGCCAUCGAGUCUUUAGAGAGGCAGCUGAGGGUCGCCAGCAGCAACAACACGGCUCUGCAGAGGCAGCAGGCUCAGCUAAUGGAGUCUGUCCACACACUCAUUACCAUGGUGGCUACUACUACAGGGUCACCUCCCAGGGACCAGAUGUGGAGGGACUGUGCAGAUGCUUACAAGGCGGGCCAGUCUGUCAGCGGCCUUUAUAACAUCUACAUCGGUAACAGAACUGAACCCGUGCAGGUGUUCUGCGACAUGGAAACGAGCGGUGGCGGCUGGACGGUGUUCCAGCGGCGAUUCAAUGGCAGCGUUGACUUCCAAAGGAGCUGGAGGGAAUACAAAAUGGGCUUCGGGGACGUGUUUGGAGAACACUGGCUGGGUAACGAAGUGAUGUACCUGCUGACCAGCCAGGGUCAGUACUCUCUGAGAGUGGAGCUGAGGGACUGGGAGGGAAACCCCGCCCACUCCCUGUACGACCGGUUCACACUCACCAGUGAGAGACAGCAGUACAGGUUGUAUCUGAGAGGUUACAGCGGCACAGCUGGGAGGCAGAGCAGCCUGACCACCCACGGGACCGGCUUCAGCACCCGAGACCAGGACAACGACAACUGUGACCACUGCAAGUGCGCCCUGAUGCUCACUGGAGGUUGGUGGUUUGACGCUUGUGGUUUCUCCAACCUGAACGGUAUUUACUACACCGUCGGCCACAACAUCAGGAAGCUCAACGGCAUCAAGUGGCACCACUUCAGGGGCCCCAGCUACUCCCUGCGCUCCACCUCCAUGAUGCUGAAGAGAGACAUGAAACGAGAGGGAGAGACAGAGUGAUGACAUGCAGCAAAGGGCCUCGAGUCGGAUUUGAACCCGGGACUCUGACGAGGACUGAGCCUACAUGGGGCACGCGCUCUACCAGCUACCAGAAGACUUCCAACUUCAGACACGUUGCUCACGUCACAUCUACGUCUUCAAUCUCAGUUGGAGGCUGCGCAGUAACGCCCAGCCAUCACCGGAAAAGUGCUUCUAAUAUCCUUCACUGGUCUCCAUGGAAAUCUGCGGCGUCACAUCGUCCAUUUAUUUAACUGUCUAUGCUAGGGAGGCGCAGACAAUCACAUAGGCGGGAAAACACACAAGGCUGGAGGUCAAACAAGACACGACCCUACAAAAUAAAACUGGAAACUAAACAAAACCCAGGACCAUGACACACUUUUGCCAACAUGCAGCAUGUUGCUCUUUGGAGUGGAGACACCAAUCACUGGGGUUUAUGAUACCUAAAAAACAACAUUAAGGUAAUCUCUUAGAUGAAAAGAGCUGCCUGUAUCUGUUCUCUGAGAAGCUGACAUUCUGGUGAUACAGGUCUUCAUGUGAUAAUAGUGAUUGAGUAUAAUCCUGCAGCCUUGUUUUUUUUAAAGGAACACGCCAACUUAUUGGGAGUU